UACGUAGGGUGCAAGCGUUGUCCGGAAUUAUUGGGCGUAAAGAGCUCGUAGGCGGUGUGUCGCGUCUGCUGUGAAAACUCAGGGCUCAACUCUGAGCUUGCAGUGGGUACGGGCACACUAGAGUGCUGUAGGGGAGACUGGAAUUCCUGGUGUAGCGGUGAAAUGCGCAGAUAUCAGGAGGAACACCGAUGGCGAAGGCAGGUCGCUGGGCCACUACUGACGCUGAGGCGCGACAGCGUGGGGAGCAAACAGG
rnacentral:rRNA from 1 species